GAUGAACGCUGGCGGCGUGCCUAAUACAUGCAAGUCGAGCGAACAGACGAGGAGCUUGCUCCUUUGACGUUAGCGGCGGACGGGUGAGUAACACGUGGGUAACCUACCUAUAAGACUGGGAUAACUUCGGGAAACCGGAGCUAAUACCGGAUAAUAUUUCGAACCGCAUGGUUCGAUAGUGAAAGAUGGCUCUGCUAUCACUUAUAGAUGGACCUGCGCCGUAUUAGCUAGUUGGUAAGGUAACGGCUUACCAAGGCAACGAUACGUAGCCGACCUGAGAGGGUGAUCGGCCACACUGGAACUGAGACACGGUCCAGACUCCUACGGGAGGCAGCAGUAGGGAAUCUUCCGCAAUGGGCGAAAGCCUGACGGAGCAACGCCGCGUGAGUGAUGAAGGUCUUCGGAUCGUAAAACUCUGUUAUUAGGGAAGAACAAAUGUGUAAGUAACUGUGCACGUCUUGACGGUACCUAAUCAGAAAGCCACGGCUAACUACGUG
rnacentral:rRNA from 1 species